rnacentral:rRNA from 1 species
ACGCUCGACACCUACGGGAGGCAGCAGUUGGGAAUAUUGGACAAUGGAGGAAACUCUGAUCCAGUGACGCCGCGUGAAGGAAGAAGGUCUUCGGAUUGUAAACUUAUUUUGUCAGGGAAGAAAAAUGACUGUACCUGAAGAAAAAGCACCGGCUAACUACGUUCCAGCAGCCGCGGUAAUCUGAGCGGGCUGGCAAGGC